rnacentral:rRNA from 1 species
UGGGGAAUAUUGCACAAUGGGCACAAGCCUGAUGCAGCCAUGCCGCGUGUGUGAAGAAGGCCUUCGGGUUGUAAAGCACUUUCAGCGAGGAGGAAGGUGGUGAGCUUAAUACGCUCAUCAAUUGACGUUACUCGCAGAAGAAGCACCGGCUAACUCCGUGCCAGCAGCCGCGGUAAUACGGAGGGUGCAAGCGUUAAUCGGAAUUACUGGGCGUAAAGCGCACGCAGGCGGUUUGUUAAGUCAGAUGUGAAAUCCCCGGGCUCAACCUGGGUACUGCAUUUGAAACUGGCAAGCUAGAGUCUCGUAGAGGGGGGUAGAAUUUCCAGGUGUAGCGAUGAAAUGCGUAGAGAUCUGGAGGAAUACCGGUGGCGAAGGCGGCCCCCUGGACGAAGACUGACGCUCAGGUGCGAAAGCGUGGGGAGCAAACAGGAUUAGAUACCCGUGGUAGUCCACGCUGUAAACGAUGUCGAUUUGGAGGUUGUGCCC